UACGUAGGGUGCAGGCGUUAAUCGGAAUUACUGGGCGUAAAGCGUGCGCAGGCGGUUCGCUAAGACAGGUGUGAAAUCCCCGGGCUUAACCUGGGAACUGCGCUUGUUACUGGCAGGCUUGAGUGUGGCAGAGGGGGGUGGAAUUCCACGUGUAGCAGUGAAAUGCGUAGAGAUGUGGAGGAACACCGAUGGCGAAGGCAGCCCCCUGGGCUAACACUGACGCUCAUGCACGAAAGCGUGGGGAGCAAACAGG
rnacentral:rRNA from 1 species